rnacentral:lncRNA from 10 species
CAAGAGUUCUGUAAUAUAUAUACUUUCCCAAACAAGACUGGCAAACUUGGCCACUGAAGCAGCUGUAAAAAUGGAAAUGCAAUCACAGAAGGAGUUAUCAGCCUGAUGAAUUGAGGCGUCUUGACACUACUUGACAUUCAUUCUCAAUUACCAAGUUCAGGCUUCUUGCCUUCAUUGAGCAGCACUACAGAGCACCUCACAUAAAUAAGUGGAUUCUGGGCAGCCACGAUGGUAUGUUUAUCUUUGAAGAAUCUACUCACAUUUUUAUUGCAGUCAUAAAGUCUGUUGUAAUGAUAAAAAUAAAAAAGACAUCUAACGUGUACCUACACACUGGAGCAGAGCUCUGGAUAUAUUAAUUGGUUUCUCUUACUCUUUCUUCAAUCUGAGUAAUAAGCUUUUUGGUAUUAUCAUCAUCAUUACAAGAGAUUACAAAGUAUGGGGAUGGAAACCUGCUUCCUAUCUGUGGCUGCAUUACCAUGACUUAAGAUGACUUGGUCCUAGAAACCAUUUGCUUUGUAAAAGCCUCAAGAAGACCGACCCAAGAGUUCCAGGCCAAUGUUACAACAUUUUAUCCUAUAAAACCACACAUGACAAGAGACUCAUUCCUUUCUUCUAUGUAAAUCUCUGACAAAUAUAUCACUAAGGGAAUAACAAUGAUCCAAUGGGGAAAAUAUGGACAAAUAACUUAAACAGGCAAAUCAGAAGAAAUACCAACAUACCUCUUGACUGAGCAGUUUCCAUUCUAAAAAUGUAUCUUACAGCUACUUCUCCACCUAUGCAAGAAAGUAUAAUUAUGAAAAUACUUAUCAUAGUACUGUUUGUAAAAUAAAUAAAAAGUGGAAAUAGCCAAAUUGUUCAAUAAUUGGAUUAUUGACAAAUAAAAUUCAGAAUAUCCAGAUAACAAAAUA